rnacentral:rRNA from 1 species
GGGGAAAAAUUAAUAAAUAAAAUAAUAAUAAAAAAAAUUUUAAUAAUAAUAUAUUUAUAUUUUAAUGGGGGUUAAAGUAUAUUUAUAGAAAAAAUUAAAAGUUUUAUAGUGAAUUAGUAUUGUGAAAGAAUUUUGAAAUAGUUUAAAUAAUAAUUAAGUUAAAAGUAAAUUUUAUUUAUUGUAUCUUGUGUAUCAGAGUUUAUUAAAAAUAAUUUUUAGUAAAAAAAAUCUCGAAUUUAAAAGAGAUAAUUAAUUAAUAAAGUUAUUGUAUCAAAAAUAUUUUUAAUAAUUAAUUUGAAAUGAAAUGUUAAUCGUUUUUAAAUAUAUCUAGUUUUUUUAGAAAUAAAUUUAAUUUAUAAUUUAUAAAAGAAAAAAUUAAAUAUUUAAUUUUUUCUUUUAUAAAUUAAAUAUUUUAAGGGAUAAGCUUUAAAUUAAAUUUUUAUAAUUAAAAGAAUUUUUAUUUAAAAUUUUUUAGAAUUUAUAUUGUUAAUAAAUUAUAUUUUUUUAUAAAAAAAUUUAUUUUAUUUAAAAAAUUUAAUUUAAUUUAAUUUUUUAUAAAAAAAUAAAUUUUAAUAAAAUAAAUUUAAUUAUAAUGAUAAAAUUAGUAUAAAAUUUAAUUUUAUUUGUUAAUUUAAAUAUAAAAUAAUAUUUAUUAUAUAAUUUUAUUUUUAUUAAAUAAGAUAUAAUUAAUAAAAAUUUUAAUAAAUUAAAUAAAAGGAAUUCGGCAAAUAUAUAUAUUCACUUGUUUAACAAAAACAUGUCUUUUUGGUAAUAAUUUAAAGUCGAAUCUGCCCACUGAUAUUAUAUUAAAGGGCUGCAGUAUAUUGACUGUACAAAGGUAGCAUAAUCAUUAGUCUUUUAAUUGAAGACUUGUAUGAAAGAUUUGAUGAGAUAUAGACUGUCUCUAAUUUAUAAUUAGAAUUUAAUUUUUUAGUUAAAAAGCUAAAAUAGUUGUAAAAGACGAGAAGACCCUAUAGAGUUUUAUAUUAAAUUAAAUUUUAAUUUUAUGUAAUAUUUAUAAAAAAAUUUUUUUUUAGUAUUUUAUUGGGGUGAUAGAAAAAUUUAAUAAACUUUUUUUUAUAAUUAACAUUGAUAAUUGAAAAAAUGAUCCAUAAUUUAUGAUUAUAAGAAUAAAUUACCUUAGGGAUAACAGCGUAAUUUUUUUUUUUAGUUCAAAUAAAAAAAAAAGUUUGCGACCUCGAUGUUGGAUUAAGAUAAAAUUUAAAUGCAGAAGUUUAAAAUUUUGAUCUGUUCGAUCAUUAAAAUCUUACAUGAUCUGAGUUCAAACCGGUGUAAGCCAGGUUGGUUUCUAUCUUUAUAGAAAUAAAAUAUUUUAGUACGAAAGGAUUAAAUAUUUAAAAUAAUUUUAUGAAAAGAAUAAUAUUAAUUAGUAUUUAUAAAUUUAUAUA